ACUAGAAGUAAAGAGAGAGAAAUUCGUAAAAAACGUAUUAGCAAGCUGGGGGCUGUGGGGGGUGGUGGGUGGUGGAUGGUGGCUAGUGGGUGUUGGGUGGUUUAUGGUGAUGUCGUGUGUUGUUUGUGCCAUGUGCAAAGUAAGUGAUGGAAAACAGCCUUAGAAUGUUGGAGAGAAUAAGUGGUAGUAGUACACAGAAGACCGAAAGCGAAUGGAAUAAAAGCUAAAAUGGAGAAAAUGAGGAAAACAACGCCAUGGAUUUUCCUAAUUGAGCCGAGUCAAGCUCUCAUUAAUGAGUCAUUGCGAAUGGUCCAGUGAGCCCAGGAGCUGCUUUAUCCUUUCUCAAAUUUUACUUAAAUUUAAAAGUGCGGUCUGAGGGCCGGCAAUUAUAAAACUUUUUCGCAAGCAAAAGUUAAAUCAGCUUAGUUUUUUGCUAGCUAGACGAAAAUAUUUAAUAUAGAGAUUUUCAAAAGAUUUAAGUUUGGACAAUAAGUGGAUUAACAUAGUGUUAAAUGAAGCAGUGAGAGUUUUUGCAAUUGAAAUUACAAAGUUAAUAGUUUACCAUCCUGCUUAUCAAAUAUGCCAUGGAGUCAAACAAAAUGUUCUAAUUUUAAUUAUGCUUACAUGACCGGAGAAAGUUAAAAAAGUUAAGUGUUGCACGAGCAAACAGUUGUGCAACUUUUGUCAACCGCACGAUUUUAGCUUGACAUAGUUUUUAAUGCACUCAAAAAUAGAUAAUUAAUUCAGUUUGCUUCUGCCGUUUGGGACACUCUCUUAAUCGCCCCUAGAGCUUCAUCGAAACUUUUUCAUACAUUUUUAAAACGAUAAUGCCUUUAGUUUUCGGCCUUGCACCGAAUGGCUUUACGGCCUUUUCCGAUUGCCGUCCCGUAAGUCGAUCACGUAGCGGACUCGUUGUCGGGUAAUGUAGCAUAAUCAAAUUUAAUCUAUGGAACUGCCCUCGUAGCCGCAAAUUCCCAGUUCGGGCCGCAAAUUCCCACACCCCUCCGCCGUGUUCAUCGGUAACUCUUUGGCCAACACAAUUCAUCAUUCAGCUGUACCUUUGGCAGGCCACGAGCCGAGGAAUUGUAGCGUUUUGCAUAAUUUAAAACGACACGCCACAGCCAGCCACUUCCACUUCCACUUUCACUUUGCAAAAAGGCUUUGUGGAGCAGAAGUCCUUUGCCACUGUCACUCACAGAGUUAAUUUUUCAGAGCUCAUUGAUGGAUGAGCGCGUCGGUGACAUUUAUGCACGAUGCCCGCCUAGCCUCGCCCAAAUGAUACCGACUAACAGGCCGUUAAAAAUUAACGCCAUCAUCUUGGCCUGACUUGGCCUGGUCUCACCCGGGUCCUGGGCAAGUUUCUAGCUGCGCAGCCGAGGCAACCAAAACGAGUUAAACAUAUUAAAAUUUGCCUAUGCAACCAGGCAGAGGGGCUCCAAAUGCUCGGAAGACGCUAAGCAUCACGUACUUUAAAUAUGUUUAACGCAGCUUAAGUGGAAGAUACAUAUAUAUAUAAUAUAUGUGCGUGUAGGGCUCACUUCCACUUCCACUGUAACCAUGUGGCACUGUCAAUGGCAACGCCUGUUACUGGCAUUAUAUCACAAGUUGGAGGCAACUGGGGCCAGGUGGGCGUGGCUCUGGUUGCCUGCCGCCUAUCGGGUGUCUCAGGCGCUGGCUUUGUGCAGCGACACUUGCCACAUUUCUCUUUCGAGGUCUUUUGUGUCACAUUUUUGUGAGACGGAUUCCUAUCCGGGCCUGGAUUUAAUUUCAAAAUCGUGUUCGGGUCAGAGGCGCAACUGUGAUAUGCUGCGUAAUCCUAAACAGCUUCCUACACUGCUGCCAUGUCGGCCGAAAGGUGAAAGAUGAAGGAUGACUGACUGUGGCUAGCUGCCCCAUAGCAUCCAAUAAUGAAUUGGACUAAAAAGAAUGAACAGAUAUGGCCCAUGUAUUACUUAUAUGCUUGUUCACAUAAAAAACUUUCUUCAACCGGAUAGAAAGUGAUUCCAAUUUUUGUAUACCACUAGGUUAGUCCUUAAGGAAAAUGUUGAUGACAGGAGGAUGUCUGGUUAACAAAUAGAACCCAUUAUUAUCAAGUUAUUAUCGCUGGGCAACCCUAACCUAUUACUUCCUCCGACAGCUUAUCUAAAUUGUAUACUUUAUGCUCCUCACACUUUUCAGAGGCGCACGAGCCUAUUAAGACGUCUGUUGCCACCUCUUAGGACCUGAUCCCUAUUAAUUUCCCGUUUCUUUCGCCCAAGUUAAUACGAUUUGUAUUCCAAUCCCCCACUUCGAUUCCGCACGCCCUAACUGACAUAAACAAUACUUAAUUAACAUAAAACUAACAUCCCCGACCCGACGGCAACCCAAUUUAAACAGCCAUACGUGCGUAAUUAAGCCCGCCCUUGGCGUGCCACGCCCCUCGGGCAGCGCCCAUAUCGCCAAGUGCUUUCCUGCCAGCUAUCAGGGGGGAGUUCCAUGGGAAUCAGAUUGGGGAGGCGGAGGAGCAGGAGGCAUACGGCUGGCGUUGGCGGCUUCUGGCCGUGCUAGUGUGAAAAUCAAAGGGGCAUUAAACGCACGCCCACGCACUUGGUCAGGAUCUGGUUGGAUAUUCGGUUGGCGGGGGCUGCCGCAGAAGGGGGCGUGGCAGUAAGUGCGACCAAUUAAUUUCGCUGGUUUCUGGUGGCUACGGUUGUCGUAAACAAGCGAAGCGAUUGGCGCCCACGAAGACAACAGAUGUCACUUAAUGUUAUUAAAUCUCUGCACCGUGUUUGCCUUAAAUCUUUUUUCGGCCAUAAAUGUAUUUGCACAAGGACGCCAACUCGACGUGCGAGUGUGUGAAUGUGGAAAUGCUGUGUUUCCUGCUGUGACGUCGCCGUAAUCCGAUUAAACGACGAAUAUUAUGCAAGGGAAUGCAUUCUCUGCCGGCAAAGCGAUGUCCUCGAGAGCGAUGAAGGAGCUGCUCCUCCAACCUCCAACCUCGAACCUCCAACAUCCAACCUCCUCAUCCUCCGGCACAAUUAAAAUUCCCUCACACAUGAAAAACGGCGAGCUCGUGCUGAUUUCAUUUCAUUCCGCAGCAGGCAUUUCAGCCUCGGCAGAGUGACAAGGAUAAUGAUCAUUCUAAUCGUAAUCUCUUCAGAUUCCAUCACAUUGAGAAGUGUGUUCAAGAGAUUGCCCACGAUUAACGUAUAUUUGGGAGCUCUCUAAGUGCACUGCACUGCACUUGGGCUCCAUUAACAAUUUGAGUGCCAGAAAUAGCCGCAAGAUGAUUAAAUAGGAAUAACAUUUGCCCACUUGCAACUGCAAGUUGAAGAGCCCAAACAAGCUGCACUUAGUGCAAGGCAGACAUAUUCCCUACCAGAAUUACCUGUCUGCCUGCAACUUAUUUUGCAGUGCCAUAAAAGCAUGCUUUUCUUUCUUUUCCGACGACGGCUUUCUGCUCGCCACGCUGGACUUUGCUGAAACAAUGUGCUUCCUUUUCACAAUCCAUAACCAACAAAUGCUUUAAUGUUUUGACCAACUUCCACAGGCCAAACACAUUUCGCAUUUCAUUCUUUUCGCAACUCAGCAGCUCCUUUUGCGUUGGGUGAAAGCGGCGCCUGCAGUUAUGCAAUAUUAUUUUAAAGAAAAUUCCACUUUCACAAUGCAAUGCAGCAAACUCACUUCGUUGUGAUUGUGUGCGCCUUCCGACUUUUCACGUUGGCUGCUGUCAGCGGCAAAUGCAAAAGCCGAAGUCGAACGGAGUGGCCAUCCACUGAUGGGGCGUGCUGGAGUCCAGUUUAAUUUGAAUUGUUUGCGGAGGGCAAGCAGUUUUAGUGCUACUAAGGCUCCGGCAAGACCACGCCCUGUCCAUAAUCUUAUUAAGUGCGCUUAGUUCCUUAAUAAACAAUCGUAAAAACUUCGAAGCACUGGCGAGUGCAGCAAAGAGUCCUGUAUUUCAGCCACAUUAUUUCCGCUUAUCCCCCGCCGAACGGAGAGGGCGAAUCUAAACGAGAAAUUACGAACUCACACACACAGAAUUUAAGAACUCAACUUUUGUGACGGGCUGUGCAGAGAGAAAAACCGGAUAAUCUGCCUGAAAUCGGGGACGAGCUGAUUAGAAGCCUGACACGAACCCAAAAUUACUUGUAGUCUUAAGCUCUUAUGAAUUAGAAGGGUGAAAUGUUCCUUAGAAUCAACUUAAAUAAGUAAUGGGUACUUCUUGUUGUAACAAUGUUCGCAAAGCUCACUAAAGCAUAGACGUUUUUCGCAGUGCAGUUGUAGCUGAACCAGCGCCUUCGGUGGCAAAUUCAAUUAAAUAACUGCACAGAAAACUUUCGCAAAACACAAUUCAACAAAUUCUUGAAUGCUUUGCUACACUUUUGACAAAAUUUAUACACAUUCUGUCGCCGCAAAGAACAUUCCACAAACUUGCUGUCGAAAGUGGGGUCCGAGAAUCGAGUCCGAGCUCUACGACGGCUUCCACGGCCAUCUAAGCCAGGUCUGAUGAAUUGUUGACCAGAAAUAAUAUAAGUGGCCCGGAAUGAGCUAAAAACUGUGGCCCGGAAACUUUAUCCACUCGGAUUGAAGGCUGUGGCCGGGUGAAAUGAGUUUGCAGUGACCACAGAGCGGCUAGCUGAGAUUUAAGUUUCGGUUGGGAAUGAGGAUGGUGAUGGUGAUGGGUUGGCAUCAUUUUAUUUCACUUAUCGCUUUUGGGCACCGCACAAACCAAUCCGUAAUGAAGACUCGGGCAUAAAGUUUCAUUUCGGAAGAGUAGCAGCCGUAUGCUGGCCUAACAAAAACAGGACGAGAACAGUCGGAAAACCCAGGAAAACGCAGGGAAACCCAGCAUGGCUGCAAGGAAAACGGAAGACAAACAAACUGUUCUGGCCCGGCCCGAAGGCAUCCAGCUUCUUCUGGCCCUGUGUUGGACUUACGGAAACUCUUGUUUACGGCACUCGCAUGUGUUUUGCUUCCCCCCCUCCCUCGGCAGAUUCAUAAAUUCGCACGGACUCUUUCUGCCCCCCAAAUUGUUGUUUAAUAUGUUUUGUCUAUGCGUUGUGUAAUUGUUUCUUAGACCAGACGAGCAACCAAACUUUUGCCAAUAGGACGAGCUUGAGGUGAGAGAAAAGAGAGAAAUAAGGGAAAAUGUCCAAAUUAAUACUUUUUGCCUGGAAAGGAUUUGAAAACUUUCCAUUGGCUUUGUCAGGGACUUUGGCUCAAAAGUAAAAAUAAAAACACCACUUCGCCCGAAGCUCCCUCUGAUGUAUUAUAAAUUCAGUCAAACAGGAUUUGCCAAAGUAGAUAAUCCACACGAUGGCUUCAAGUGCGCAAUAUUGAAAGUCGGGCAGGUCGUAGGACUUCAUUAAAUGACAGCGCAUAAAUAACAAAACGCAAACAAAUGGCUGUCAUGGCCGAAAACAUACAAAAAUGUACAAGAAUACACAUAAGUACACAUAAAUACAAACAUAUGUACAUCGGGGACGUAUGCGUGCCACGUAUCCAAGUUCGAUUGUGGCACUCUUACGCCGCAGCUCUUGUCGCCUGAAAAACUUAUUCGUUGUUUGUGCUUCGUAAAAUGUAACGUGACAGGGGAAAUUAAUUGAUUUAUGCUGCCAGCAUCAGAGGAGACGUAAUGUUAUAGAAACCAACGAUGCACGCAAAUAAAUCCAUUGCUAUUCCAUUUGACUCUAGCCCAAUAUGAACGGGCACUUUCCGAAGAGCUUACCAUCAACAAGGAUUGCUGAAUUAUGCCCUCAUAUAAUUCCAAACUCCAUAUAAUAAUCUAGUUUGGAAAAUAUUCAAUAGCCUGGUAGUGGUUGCUGAUCUUAUUUCGAAAUUAGUGUUGGUUAAAAACAUACAUACAUUACAUACCCUUAUAUGAAAGCCAAAUUAAAAUAUCCUUUACCUGUUUGCGGUUUUAAGUUAACAUUGAAUCAGUAAUCAUUGAAAUAUAUGGUGUUGUUGAACGCAUUUAGAAACUAAGUGUUGAUUAACAGCUUAUAUAUUAAAAAAUCUUUACAAAAUUUAAGGAAAUCUCUAGUUCUGGGUUGGUUUGCUUGAAAUAAAAUUUAUAGUGAAUCAAAUGAAAGCAUUUUCUCCAUGUGCGACAUAAUUCCUAACCAUAAUCAGGACGCAUGCCGCUACCAGUGCUACACAAUUUUUCGCAAUAACUCAGAUGCAGCUCAGAAACUGAGAAAGCAGCUGCUGCAGUCGAAAUUGGAAAAUUUUGAAGGCUACGACCGCAGUGGCGGGGAAAAACCUGUGAACGUGAUCUGGGCCAGCGGAAUAACGACAGAACUGGAGGACGGAUAUUGGCAUGGCAACAGGAAACAGAACGACAGCGGCAAAGGCACAUAUACGUGGAAACAAAGGAAAACGCAGAGCCUGAAACAAAGGCAAACAGCAGGGAAACAGAGGACGUUUCCCAACGGAAACGGAAAUCUCAGGUGUUUGCUCUGUCCUUUGUUGCUGCCUCUGGUUUCCACGCUUUCCUCGCUUUCCGCGCUUUCCGCGUUUUCCCCGCUUUCCUUUCGCCUUUGCCAGCUGCUAGCAUCUAAACAGCUCCCCGGCUAAUUAAUCUUAUUUUGGCAUUUGGGCUGGGAAUUUUCGCAACAGCUCUCAACAUCAUUUCCCAGCUGGGUUGUGGAUGUAUGGAUGCGAGUGUGGAUUGGGCCAAAGCGCGACCAGGAGCAGGAGCAGGAGAAGGCGCAGGAGCACACAACCAGCACACAAACACGCACUUAGAGUAAGCGCAUUCUAAACGCUGACACUGAUGCUUGACACGAAUGACGUGAUGAAUGUCUCCAGAAGAUGUUCCUCCGCUUUUGACGAAUGUCUCUGGUCGGAACAGCACGCAAAACAAUUUCAAGUGUCGUCGCUGCCGUUCAGGUGCUCCAUCAUACAGGCAUGUUCAUUUGUUGCUGCCCCCAGUCGUACACCUGGCCACCGACUCCACUCACCUCAUCUCAAUCCAAACCAUCUGAAACCAUCUCAUCCCACCUGGACUCCCACUUCGCGAGCUUGCAGUUUGUCAACGACAGUUGCAUAGAAAUGGCACCGAACUAAAUCGCAUAAAUCUCACGAGUCUACAGCAAAAGUAAAAAGUAACAAAAAACCGACUGAUAGUGUCCAUUCUGCACUCAAUGCACAGAAGAAAAUGCUUUUCUACAGAAAAUUCAGAAAAUAUCGUUAAAAUCAGAAUACAUACUUUGAUCAGAUACCAAUAGUAAAAUUCUGAACAAAAAUCUUUGUUGUAACUGAACCUACCCGCAAUCCACUUUGAAGAAUUAUGUAUUAUGUGUAUAAUAAAGCUUCUGUUUUAUUGCCUAAGAAUUUUGCAAUAACUGUACACUUUUUACAGUGCACUUAGAAUAGAAUAUACAAAUGGUAGACCUGGAGUCGCAGUGAAAUUAUGAAUAGGAAAUAACUUCACCGCUUGCGCACGUUUUGUAUGCGUCGACUACACCCAUAUCAAUCCAAUCAAACUACAAGGGGCGUCGCAUGAAUAGGAUACUGUAACACAUGGCGUAUACGUAUUAUUUUUCGAGCAUUUCUGACAGAGCUUCAAGCUAUUUGUGCUGUUCUCCAUUCGAGCAUUUUUGCAAUGCUCGUGCUCGUGUAAGCUGAUUACAAUUCAAGGAUAUCGUCUGCUUUAUUUUUCCCAUUGAGAGAUUAGCACAGCUAACGCAAAAGUAAAUGUGUGUGCGUGGGCAUGACAAGAAAUUAUUGUGGAAAAUGGAAAGUCAAUAUUGUCCCAGGGCCAGCAAAAAUAUAAUACACAGCAUUUGGCAUGCAGUCAUCGAAAGGGAAAAGCAUUUAUAGUAUUUCAGUUUCCAUUCGAUUGGGCAAACGAAUAUUUUAACGUAGUGAAUUGAUUUUAAUUGAAUUUUAUGCGAAAAAGACUCACAUAUAGUCGUUUAUUUUUUUUUAUUUGGACACCUCUACCUGGAAAAGUCAUGUCAAAAUCUUAGAAUUAUAAAUUGCACAUACGCCGAGGGCUUGGGAGCAGCAAAUGCUUACCCACAGAGAAAUAAGUGAUUAUGAACUCGAAACUUGAUCGGCUUUAAACGUGCUCAAUGGGAUACUCAAAUGGGCCAUGGAAGAUGCCAAAUCGAGAUGUGCACUCAUCAACUUGGCCCCUUUCAUGGCUCCUCGUUUCGUCCAAAUCCGUUCCAUUAAUAGUCUGACAAAGGCAGCAGGACGUCCGCAAUCGAAAGCGUUGGCCAUUUGGAAGAGUUUACCAGAGAUUCGCAGAAGGCCAGCUGCACUUUGGGUCAACGGCUGCUCGAGUGGUGUGGCAAAGUGUUUUGGGACAACGAGUUUCGCAUUGCAUGCCAUACUCAGAGAACUGCCAUCAGUCAGCUGGUCAGUCAUUUCCAUUAAAAUUGGCAACAGUUAAGUGGGAAAUAAAUUAGAAUUGGUAAUAUAAAUCUAAUCCCCCAACAUCACCACAGCACCAAAGCAGCAAAGCAGCAAAGCACCACAUGCCCAUGUGCUCUUACAUCCCACAUCCAUCCAAUCUCGGCGUCAAGUUGGAAAUGUAAUUUGAGCUCAAAUUACAUUUGAGUGCGGAAUUAGCACAGUUGUCAAUCUGUGUCCUCUGUCCGAGUGUCCGAGUGUGUGGGGCCCAGUGUUCGUGUCCAGUGCAUUGCUGCAUCAUAUUAAUGGGCCCGGCCACAUUGUCCGGGGUAGCAAGUUUGCUGGCGAAACAAGCCAUCCAACACCCAGCACCCAGCAUCCAAAAUCCUGCUGCGGCAGUAACUCGUUUACGUCCGUUGCAGGUUGGAAAAUGUGAAAAUUUGAAAAUUCAUGAAUUCCUCUGUGCGAGGGAUCGUGCGAGGGGUCCUGCGAGCAGGAGCUGUUUACAUUCAAUUUACGGCUGGGAGCAGAAAGCGAUGUAGGGGCCAAGGCCUGUUUGCAUCCGCACCGUAAUGAUUACUUUGUGGGAAAAAAGAACUGGAUAUGCUUGCGGUGGUCCAAUCAGAGGCUACUCAUUCGACACCUGCCACAAAACUCGGUCACCUGUUGGCCGAGCAAAUUAAUUACUCCAUUUUCAUUUGCGGCCAUAAACAAUAAUUGCAUAUAAUUAACACAGAGACAGUGGCGCUUUGGCAAAAUGCAAAUUGAUGCCAUCAAGUGAAAGCCCAUCAUCGACAAGCCCAUCGACAAAUGGGAAAUGAAAUAUUGUUGCAAUUAUUAUACUUUCGGUCUGACGUCAGUGCAAAUGCAAAUGCAAAAUAGCGAAGACAAUCGUAGUUUUGGUAUUCCCGACCCUGUUUUCCUGUUGUUUCUGCACUUUCCAUGUUUCCCAUGCUAAUUUAUGAAUACAAAAGCCUGUCGCCCGUCCCUUUCACGCUUGGAAUCACAGUGCGUAUGCUUAACCAUCCGCACACGGUGAAAAUUUAUGCAACAGCGAGUGAGGUGGGUGGUUUUUGGUUUGACUUUGUUCUCCGGUUUCUGGCCAACUUUAAAGAGAACCUCGGAUUCAUAGUUGUAUCCUGUGCACGCAGUAAAUAACUUUUAAUCUGGCUGAUUCAUUGUUAAAUGGCUUGUUUUGCAUACAUAGUUUACAAUAUAUUUAUUUUUGAAGUGAAAGGCAACACUCAAACUCGCAUGUCUCAGGACAUUAGAAGGAUUUUCGAUCUCUUAGUCCAAUUAAAAUGUAAUUAAAAGCGUUGGUAAAGAAAAUAUACUUACAGCAGUAGGGCGACAUUAUGAAUUAUGAAAACCAUUUUCAUUUUGAAAACAAAUUUAUGUUGCACUUCAUUUGUACUGUAAUGGACUGCUGUGUAUCUUUCAAAAUUGUGCAAUAACAAUUCAAAUUUACCAAAGCUUUCUGCACUUUAAUUUAGAAUGCGUGCACAUGUAACCAACUCGGUUAAUGGUAGCUGGCCAAAAACCAAGCAGCUUAAGGGCUCAUCCGCCUGCUCCCGGCAUUCAGGUUUCCAGAGCUCGGUCAGACUGCAAAUUGCUUAUGCUCUUUGCGUAAUUACAAGUGCUACCGGCCACCUGAAGCUCUGCCACGCCCCUCCCUUCACUCCUCCCUUCAGGCACCCCUGCGCCCCUUUUAGCCAACAAACAGUCCGAAUGUAGCUCAUGUGUGACAUGAGUCCACUUCGCCGGGAUGGGUUCAAAGUUUGUUUUAAAAAUUCACAUCGCCAAAUGGAAUGAAUAUAAAUUUGUAAAAAUAUUACAUUACGCUCGGAUGUCUAGGACAGCUGUGCGGAGCUCUGGAAGCUGGCUUAUUACUUGCAAUGAAUAAAUAAACAUGGGAUCGUGCGAACGCACAAAUGUACUACACACAGGGUUCUGCGAGUGUGUCUGUGUCCAUGUUUAUGCCCUGCCCAUUUCACGAAAUGAAUUCCCGGUGUGCAAACACAGCACACGUUGUCGGGCACAUUGACCAUGAAAGUGUCAAAUUGUAUUAUCUUGAUGCUUUCACAUGUUUAAUGGUAACUCGUGCCUCUAAAAUAUAAAAGUACUUAGAACUAAUCACACGAUAAGAGAAAAGUUAGCACAGUCUUCAGCAAAAUGGUAACCAUCAAUUAGCUGGCACAAAUUUAAGCAUGCAUUUGGGGUCAACUUAGAUUUCACGCUUUCCCGAGUUCGUGAAUCUUAGAGCAUAAACGGAGCUUGUUUGCCGUUCCAUAUGCCGCCCCUCCACCUCCCUUCAAUAUCCUUGUGUCGCAGAGUCGCUGUUCAUUUCGCAAAUAGUUGACAUUUUUCAUUUGCAUCAAUUCCGCUGGCACAUCUCGCUGCUUGUCUCUUUCGCAGUCUCGUUCACGGUUAUGGGUAUUGGAAUCGACGUUCUGCCAGCGAACUUCCGCCGUAGAGCACGGCUAAAUUAAAGACGUGUCUUUCACGUCCCUUUGUUUCUUGCCCGAGGGUAACACCAUUUCCGGUCAGAUGAUUUUCACAAAAAUAAUCACUUCACAAGUUCAAAAUACUACCGUGUAUUGUGAACAGAUUAUUCCAAUAAGCUACAGUAUCUUUAUCAAUAAAGGAAAUGUAUGAUGGGAAAUAAGUAAAAUAUAUACAAGUUCGCUUGGCUUUCACAUAAUAACAGGCCAUUGCGGAUAGGUGGCCUUUUCAGCUUCUUGGGACUCAUUGGCAGCCUCACGCGGCCUUAACAUUCCAUUUCCUUUUUCAUUUUCUGUCGCCGGGCAUUGGAACACUGAAAAAGGGCUCUCGAAAUUGGCUUUUUCCGCUAAUAUUCGAUGCAGUUUAUGGACACGCCACCUUGCCGCACUUGCAGCGUCAGAAAGCAAUAUAUCUAUUCCCGUAGUGCAUUACUCUAAUCAUCAAAGGUGGGCUCCGCCCGUUUGGCCCCCUCCCCCUUUCAAGGCAAUCUGCGAAAUGGAUAUUCAUCUCAUUUUGUUUGCCCUUGCCGGCUGCUGUUUGUUCACUUGCAAAGGAAAAGGAAAAAGGCAUCAGAGUGAAUGCAGCCUAUCGGUCUAUCAGCGCAUUAUUGUAUUAAUCAAUCAACUUGCAGCACUUUCUUUCCAAAGCCAUUCUUGGCCAAAGGAGCACCUCUGUUCAAAGUACAUAUAUAUGUAUAUAUGUAUGUAUUGGCAUGCAAGGGGUAGGGGCAUUUCCAUCCACUUGAUUUAUUGCCCCGUGGGGAAGGAAUGCAAACAUUUGCUGGCCUCAUUAAGCGAGAAUUGGCAAUUUAACAAUUUGUGAAUAAUUAAUAUUCAAUUAUGCAACUGCGUGCAAUGAUAAAGAAAGCGUAAGCGAACGGCAAAAAAUUCGAAACACAAUCCAUUAUCCGGCGCACAUGGCCGCGCUGAUGGAUUAUUUAUGUUGCGGUAAUUAUACAAAGGGUUCGAGGAUGGGAGCUCCGGCAAAGGAUCUGCUGCAGGCCUAUAGCUAUACAGCUACAGAAACAGCAAGAACUAGACUGUUAUCGCCGACCGACCAGCUGCUGCACAUUCCCACCAACACCCUCCCCUCCCUCUACUACCGUGCGUCUGGUUCUCGGCUUUUUUGCAAUAACCGCAGCGGACAGCCCGCAGCACUCGGGGCCAUCAAUGUAGGACCGCUCCAUGUGUCGCACCAAGGAUUGUCGAAAUAUUGGCACACACACUCGCCCCAACAGAGCACACAUACUUAUGCGGCGCAUUUAGCAUCAUGUGAACAAAAGCAGGUCAAUACUUGUAUGUUUUUGCACCGCCCACCGCCCCCUUCGAUUUCCUUACCCCCCCGUCCUGUGCAAAGUGAAACGUAAAAUUGUUUUUUUGUUUGUUUGCUUUCCCCUGUUUAUUCUGGCGUUGUCGAGGCCCAGUUUGCUCUCGGCCGCGCAGGAAAAGGAACGGCGAUAGGAUAGGAUAGAAGGGCAAAGUCGGAUGGGAUAUAGGAUACGGGAGGAUAUAGUGGCACUGACUGUGGCGACAUUGGAUAAAUACGAAAAA